UCCUGGGUCUUACGCAAACACACGCUACAGUCUGGGAGGUCAACAUGGGAGACAUCUCAGAGAGGACCUUGCAGGUAGCCGUGGUUGUUUCCUUUGCUGUAGGCUUCCUUUCGGGCUGGCAGGCCAACAGAAUGAGGAGGAAAUUCCUGGACUGGAGGAAGAAGCGGCUUCAGGAUAAACUGUCUGAAACGCAGAAGAAGUUGGAUCUUGCUUGAAUGGUUGGCUGUUGGUUCAGAGAAGCUGGUUCAACCUGUUUGUCCUUCUUCAUGUUUGGUUUAACCACACCUGGCGAAGCAAGUCUGUUCUUGAUACUCUCCAAGCUCCC